GAUGAACGCUGGCGGCGUGCCUAACACAUGCAAGUCGAGCGAUUUACUUCGGUAAAGAGCGGCGGACGGGUGAGUAACGCGUGGGUAACCUGCCUCAUACACAUGGAUAACAUACCGAAAGGUAUGCUAAUACAAGAUGAUAUAAGAGAUUCGCAUGGAUUUCUUAUCAAAGCUUUUGCGGUAUGAGAUGGACCCGCGUCUGAUUAGCUAGUUGGUAAGGUAACGGCUUACCAAGGCGACGAUCAGUAGCCGACCUGAGAGGGUGAUCGGCCACAUUGGAACUGAGACACGGUCCAAACUCCUACAGGAGGCAGCAGUGGGGAAUAUUGCACAAUGGGCGAAAGCCUGAUGCAGCAACGCCGCGUGAGCGAUGAAGGCCUUCGGGUCGUAAAGCUCUGUCCUCAAGGAAGAUAAUGACGGUACUUGAGGAGGAAGCCCCGGCUAACUACGUGCCAGCAGCCGCAGUAAGAC
rnacentral:rRNA from 1 species